rnacentral:rRNA from 1 species
CAGCCGCCGCGGGAAUACCGAGGGUGCGAGCGUUAAUCGGAUUUACUGGGCGUAAAGCGUGCGUAGGCGGCUAAUUGAGUCGGAUGUGAAAUCCCCGAGCUUAACUUGGGAAUUGCAUUCGAUACUGGUUAGCUAGAGUGUGGGAGAGGAUGGUAGAAUUCCAGGUGUAGCGGUGAAAUGCGUAGAGAUCUGGAGGAAUACCGAUGGCGAAGGCAGCCAUCUGGCCUAACACUGACGCUGAGGUACGAAAGCAUGGGGAGCAAACAGGAUUAGAUACCCCAGUAGUCCCUGUCUCUUAUAC